UUUUUAGAAUCUCCCAAGAUUUCAACCCGAGAACAUGAAGAAGAAUGCAGAGAUAUUCGAGCGCGUGAGCGAGAUGGCUGCGAGGAAGGGUUGCACGUCGUCUCAGCUCGCGCUGGCUUGGGUUCACCACCAGGGAAGCGAUGUGUGCCCCAUACCCGGCACGACGAAAGUUGAGAAUUUCAACCAGAACCUGAGAGCAUUGUCUGUUGAGCUCACGGCUGAGGAGAUGGCUGAGCUCGAGUCCUACGCUGCCAUGGAUGCGGUCCAAGGUGAUCGGUACCACAACACGUUCCUCAACACCUGGAAGGACUCCGAGACCCCUUCCCUGUCAUCCUGGAAAGCCACUUAGUUGGGUAUCAUGGGAAUCAAUCACUAUGCUGAUGCUUCGUAUCACUGGUUUGAAAUAGUUGCAAAUCAAAUAAUUUCACGAGCACUCCGUGCAUGGAUGGAAUCAUGGAACCACCAAUUGUUUACUAAUGUAGCACAAUUCCUGCCCAUGAGUGUUGAACUUUUUAUUAUGCCUGCAAGGAAGUAUCCCCCAAGUGUUGAACUUUUUGGCAGGGCUACAAAGGCCCUUUUGUAACACAUUUUCGUCCGGAAAACCAUUUAGAAUUCCCAACCUCAUGUGAAGAUUGCGGUACGCGUCGCACCUCCUUACAGGGGCCGAAUUACAUCAAUUGUUGCACCUUCUACAUACACUGGUUGUUACUUCAAUUGUUACACACGCAAGGAAUAGAAAUAAACAGAAGAUUACAACAUAGUAAAUCUAUCUGCCUAACAAACACAUGCUUCGUGCACCCUGAUGCAAGUCUUCUGGAAGCCUCUAGAGUCCUUUGGAUACUUCGGCCUACGGCGGCGACCUCACUGUGGAUUGUGAUGACUGCCAAAAGGUCUUCGCGAGGUUAAUCUCUCAAGAUCCGGUGCUUGCCUUCGGCUGUGAAAUGCAAUUUAUGGAUGACGACUUGAUGCACAAGGUAUGGUUAUGCAGUGGCGCCGAUUGAUUUUCCAGCCCAGCUUCUAGGAUUGUGGAAAAGUGAUGGCGACAACCCAUGAUUGGCUUUGAUGGUGGUAUUUCUCGAGUACCCAGUUUUGAGCUUCGGGGUGAAAAACGUAGGUAUGAUCCGAGUUGGUUGUACAUGACAAUGGUGAUGUUUUUGUGUCAUUAUUUUAUUAAAGGCAUUGCUUGGAUAUGCCCAGUCUGGUUCUUCCGAGUAGAAAUCUAGACUCUAGUCUUUGGUGGUCGGAAUAGGUGACCGAGGUGAUGUUGAAUAACCUCAUUGUUCUUGUGGUGUCAUGAGAUGGUUAGUGCAGAGAUGAUUAUUAUUGUAGUUUUUUUAUUUUGGAUUUGAUCACUUCGGGGUUUUGGUUUUCUUUCUGGCUUAGACAUGACUUUCAUAUUGUGUGACUUUGCUAAUCGCUGCACCAAUGAACUAUCAUGGGUAAGCCCAUAGAUGAUGUCAAGAAGCUACUUGAUGAUAUGCAAGGGAACCAUGCCCAAUGACAUGUUGAAAGAACUACCACCAAAAAAGUCAAUACAGUUGAAGAAAACAACACGGAGUUGACAGCUAAGCUUGAUGAACUCAUCUCCGUCAUGAAAGGUAAAGAAGAGGUAGCGUAAAUGCCAUAUCACCGAUGUAGAAGUCAAUGAUGUUAAUUUCAUUGCUCGUAAUAGCUAUAAUCCAAACUGAUAAAAUAAUGGGUAUGCCCCAAAAUAUACACAGUGAUGCUAUGCUCUAGUUCAAAAUUUGACGUACGUUGUGGUUGGGUAUAUGGCGUUUGGCCAGAAAGGCGCUUACAAAGUCGGUUUAUAAGGAGGCGUUUGUUCUAACAGACGUAUAUAUCAUAUGGACAAGGCUUCACAAAGCAACUGCCGGUAGACAGUUAUGUUAAAGAUAAUAUUAACCGCCUAUUUAGCCUAACAAUGAUGCUAACUAUUUCUAACAAACUAUUAUGAUUUCCUAUCAGAAGAGGCAACAACAAUAUCCUAAAUGACAUAGCUUGCCUCACACGCCCUAAUAAUUACUCGCUUGAACGCUCUUAUAUUAUGGGAUGGAGGGAGGCUUUUCUGAGAAUGUGCCACACACGAAUGACUCAGUGUAUGGACAAUCUCCUUGGAUCGCCUCGUCACUCACUCGACACGCCGGAGCGGAUAGCAGGCAGGCGUCGCCGUCGUAUCGUGUGUCCGAGACAAACCUAUCCACAAGCCAGCCAGCCAGCCAAGCCAGGAAUCGUAGACAGGACACAUGCAUGGCUGUGACACACACGAUUCGGAUGCCAGGCCCGUCCGAUUCUCCGAUGAGUUGCGUGCGUGAGCUCACGAACCCCCGGCCAACGGCGACGCUGAAAUCGACCGACGGGGCGUGGGCAGUCACUUCGCACUUCGGUGUCCAUCAUCGAAUUUUUCAUGUGGCGGAGACGGGCGGUGACCCGUCGCCCAUCGCCGUGGCAUCUGCCUCCUGGACCCACACGUUCCUUUCCCCCGUGGCGUGCCCAUCCGUUGGACCAGCCAGUCAGCCACCGUGGCGUCCCACUCGAACCGCCCCGCCACUCACUCACUGUCAUGUAGUACGAGGAAUCUAGAAGAGGACCUUAGAAGAGUGAAAAAGAUCAAUGUCCAUUUCAAUUUAACGUACGGGGUGACGCUCUGCGCUAAUUCGGCAGCUCAUUCAAACCAGCAGCCUGGUGACCUACUCCAUGACGCCCUCCACCGCACUAUAAAUUGCACCGCAGCAUUGCACUGCAAGUUCCAGACCUACUUACUCAUCCACCAAUCAUCAGUUCAUCACAGCACGAACGACAUGGCUGCUGCUCCGGUGGUUGUGCCGCGCAUGAAGCUGGGCUCGCAGGGGCUGGAGGUCUCGGCGCAGGGCCUCGGCUGCAUGGGCAUGUCCGCGGCCUACGGCGAGCGCAAGCCCGACCAGGACAUGAUCGCGCUCCUCCGCAACGCCGUCGCCGCCGGCGUCACCUUCCUGGACACCUCCGACAUCUACGGCCCCCACACCAACGAGCUCUUGCUCGGGAAGGUAGGUUACCAUACUACAGCCACCCGACGUGUUCCUUGGCUCCCUUCUAGUAGUUGCCAUAUCAUUCGCACGCGGAUGUCUGACCGGCAAGGGUUCUCCGUGUGAUAAAGCAGGCGCUGCAGGGAGGGGCGAGGGAGAAGGUCCAGUUGGCCAUGAAAUUCGGCAUCACGCCGGCCCGGGAGGUCCGCGGCGACCCGGCGUACGUGCGGGCGGCGUGCGAGGGCAGCCUCGCUCGGCUCGGCUUCGAAUGCAUCGACCUCUACUACCAGCACCGCAUUGACAAGAAUGUUCCCGUCGAGAUCACGGUCAGUCCCUACUACGUAGUAGCACUUGUUCAGGUUCGUUUCAUUUAGACAGAUUGAGGGCUUGCAGGUAUCGACCAGUCUACCUUCUUGACUUCCGUAUGCAUGUAGAUGGGUGAGAUCAAGAAACUAGUCCAAGAAGGAAAGGUGAAAUACGUCGGGUUGUCGGAAGCCUCGGCGUCGACAAUCAGAAGGGCACAUGCAGUUCAUCCGAUCACUGCCGUUCAGCUGGAGUGGUCUUUGUGGUCAAGAGAUGUUGAAGAAGAUAUAAUACCAACUUGCAGGUUUUUGCAACGACCAUAAACCUACCUUUUCUUUUCAAAAUCAGCUUCAUAGUACUUUAUGAAACGUCCUCAAAAAGAACUUACAAAUUAUUUACUGUUUCAGAGAAGUUGGCAUUGGAAUUGUUGCGUACAGUCCACUAGGCAGAGGUUUUCUAUCCACUGGACCAAAACUGUUGGACACAUUACCAGAGAACGAUUUCCGCAAGGUAAAUGAACCACCCAUGACACUUCCUUCUUCAUACGGUUAGCUGGCUUUUUUUCUUUCUCUUUUCUCCUUUUUCUAACAAAUGCAUCCCAUUGUGUUUUAAGAAUCUCCCAAGAUUUCAACCCGAGAACAUGGAGAAGAACGCGGCGAUAUUCGAGCGCGUGAGCAAGAUGGCUGCGAGGAAGGGUUGCACGUCGUCCCAGCUCGCGUUGGCUUGGGUUCACCAUCAGGGAAGCGAUGUGUGUCCUAUACCUGGCACAACGAAAGUUGAGAAUCUCAAGCAGAACGUGAGAGCGCUUUCUGUGGAGCUCAUGGCUGAGGAGAUGGUUGAGCUCGAGUCCUAUGCCGCCAUGGAUGCGGUCCAAGGUGAUCGCUACCACAUCACGUUCCUCAACACCUGGAAGGACUCCG
rnacentral:lncRNA from 1 species